AGGCUCUCUAGAAAUAUUAUAUGUGUUUGGAUUUGAUUCUCUCCAUGCCUCGCUUUCUCUCUCUAGACCAAACCAAAUCCUAAAUAAACCCCACCAUACAGAUACAGCUAUUGCAUGCCCUUUGGUUCAUUUCCCCACCCUCUCGUUGUUUUUCUCUAAAAAACAAAGCACUCCAAAACUAACUACUAAUCCAAGAAAGCGAAACGGAAGGCAUACUAGGACACUGCCUUUAAAGAUUAAAGAAAGAGCGAGGAGAAAGCAAAUCCAAGGUAUCUUCUUCAUUUUCAUUUUCAUUCAGCCAUGGCUGUAGAAGCCCGUCAUCUCAAUCUCUUCCCUUCUCAACUCUUAGGCAACAGGGAAAUAAUGAAUCAUGUUGAAGCAAAUUCAAAUAUCUACAACACCCAGAUGGGAUAUCGAUUUCCAUCAUCAGGAACGACGACAGCAGAGACUCUGCUUCCCAUGUACAGUUCAGUAAUCACAGAUUCAAUCCCUCAAAAAACACCAAUCAAAUCAGAAAGCGGCCUUACCUACACCUACAAUCUGCCUAUGCCAAGAAAACGCCCAAGAGAAUCUAUCAGUCCUCUUCUCUCAUACCCAACUCCCCAACCCAACAAGACUGCUUCUCCCUUCUCCUUUCUUGGCCUAGACCUCUCCCUUCAGAUCGAGCAACAGCAACUAGACAUCGACCGCCUUAUUUCCCAACAUGUACUUAUCUGUCAAUGUCAUCAUUUUAAUCCAAUUUUUUUAGUGUAGAUGCACUUGAGAAAUUAUACAAAUAUUGAUGAGUGAUUGGUAUUAAUUUAUUCUGAAUGUUGUAAUUGUAUAGAUGGAGAAAGUGAGGAUGGAGUUAGAAGACAAGAGAAAGAGGCAAGCGAGAAGGAUAGUAGAGGCAAUAGAGGAAGGGAUGCUUAAGAUGUUGAGGGCAAAGGAAGAAGAAAUCGAGAAGAUAGGUAAAUUAAAUUGGGCACUGGAAGAGAAGGUAAAGUCCUUGUGCAUAGAGAACCAAAUAUGGCGAGACCUUGCACAAACCAAAGAGGCCACGGCCAAUGCUCUAAGAACCAACCUCGAACAAGUCCUAGCAGCGCAGAUUAACGACGAACGCACCCGGGGCGCAGGAUUAGACAAAACGGCAGCAGAAAUGGACGAUGCCCAAUCAUGCUGUGGCAGCAGCGGUGGCGGUGAGGGGGAAAGGUCAUCGGACCGGUGUGCGUUGGGAAGUUGGGGGGUGCAGGAUAAGGACACAAGUAGUAGGCUGUGCAGGAACUGUAGGAAGGGGGAAUCGUGUGUGUUGCUAUUGCCGUGCAGGCAUCUGUGCCUCUGCAGUGUUUGUGGGUCUAGUCUCAAUACUUGCCCUAUCUGUAAAGCCACCAAGAAUGCUAGUUUCCAUGUUAACAUGUCAUGAGUUACCAAAACACCAGAGAAACAAAAAUCCAAAAAAACAUUUUCAAGAAAACGAAAAAAAAUGUUAAUUUUACAGCCAUCUUGGUUUAGUUAGAAUGAUGAUUCUUUUAUUGCAUUUACAAUUUUCAUUUGUUUUAUUUGAUUUCUGUUCCGAUUUUUGCCCAUUUGCUGGACAGAUUAUUCGUUUUAAAUACAGUGGAAAAUCAGAGAAAAUUGAAUUUUUGUAGGAGAAAAAGCUGCAAAAGAUUUGGCAAAAUAUGGAUACGGCAAAGAAGAGAAACGGAAUCAUACUGAUGCAAUUUAUGUAAAUUUAAUAUUAACAAAAAUGUGGAUAAGCAGGCGCAUUUUAGCGAGUUGGAUAGAUGAGGUUAGUUCGGGCUUUUUCAAGAGUAAAGAGAAAAAAAGACGGGAAGUGGGGGCAUGAGGAAUGUGGGACCCGGCCUCCCAGGGCACGCAUCUACGCGAAGGGAAGAUGGACAGUGAUCGGUGAGAUGGGCGUGAAUCUUACGCUCGUAUAGCAUCGCGUGGAGUCAACGAGAGGAAGAAAGCGACAGGUGUGAGGCAAAAGCUGACACGUAGGACGCGCGCAAUUGUCGCUGUUAUUGUGCAGUGGCAGUACAGUCACUCAUCUCUCUCUCUCUCGUGCGCACACCCAAACGCACGAUUUUCUUUUAUUUUACUUUUCUAUUGUCUGGUGAUGCGCUCAUUCAGAGUUCACUGUGUUUGGUGCAAACGAGGAUCUCUGCAAAAAACUUUGCCUUUUCUUCUUGUUUCUUGCUUUUACCUUAUUCUGUCUUCUCCCCCA
rnacentral:misc_RNA from 1 species